rfam:Ascaris suum AG00475, whole genome shotgun sequence.
UAGUCCAAUUCUGUGAAGAGUCAUGAGAGGAGUAGCAUAAGAGGGAGGCGUCGGCCAACAGUGAAAUACCUCCACUUUCAUCGAUUCUUUACUUAUUCGGUAAGACGAGAACUGGGCUAUCCGAUUCUUCAUUCCGGUGUUAAAUGCAGCCACUUAAUGACCGUUCGACUAACGCCGAAGAGAAUAUCAGGUGGA